UAGUAGAAAGUAGUGGAUUGUGGUUUA
rnacentral:piRNA from 1 species